CCAGCCAGCCAGCCAGCCUCUGACUGAGUACUACCUCCUGCUGAGCACAGGAAUGGUAAUGGCUGCUGUGUGCUUUGAUCCUGUCAUGUAUUAGUGAGAUCUGUGUCACUGGGGGAGAGUUUACACUACACUCACUGCUUAGCAGGGAACACACAGAAUCAUGUCUUAUUGGGCUUUAGAAUUAAACAUGGGGGAGGGAAUGUAAAAAAAAGAAAAAAUUGCUAAAUGUAAAAAAAUAAUCAUUAAAUUAACUGAGAGGGGAAAAAAAUAUAAAUACUGUUUUCUUAUUUCUUCAAUAACUGCAAACUAUAACAAUGGGGGGAUAUAAUAACACAGUCACGAACAAACAAAUAGUAAAUUAAGAUUCUAUUAGUAAUACAAUUGUGAGCGUAUUCAUUGAAUGAUUACAGCAGAGAAUUGAGAAGGGAGCCACACAAUUUACAUAUACAUAGCCAAAUGGGAAGAUUGUUGAAUUUAGAAUUUUUAUACCAGACAGGUUAUUUUGGCCUACAAUGUAUAAUUUCCUUGUCUGCUUCUUGCAAUUAAUAAUGUGAUAAAUAAACUGCCAGUAGUCAUUGUUAUGACUUGCGCGGUUGGGCAAGGUAUUGUAAAGUUUAGGCCAAAAUUGGCCAAAUUGGAAAUGUAUCCAAGUUUACUGUGUUUCCAACUCAGUUAUUUUAGUCUUAAAGGAACACUACACCCAUAAAGUACCAGAUUACUGAAGUGCUUUACGUGCCUGGAGCCUGUCAUAAUUUCACAAAUCGUUAGAAAUAUGCACUUUUAGAAUUGGGGCAGAACCACCUUCGUUCUCUCGAGCUAAUGGAAGCUGCAUGAUCGCCUCUGCCUCUCCCUCCUUUUCAGUGAGCUGUAUCACAGAAGAAUUAUUGUAUUAUUUAGAAGAGUACAAAGGCUGCGAUUGCGUGUGCUAUUCCUGACACAGACUGAAAGUCUCUGCUGGGGAAAAAAGCGAGGGCUGGCAAAGGCCGCAUGUAUAUUUUCUUAGGGGUUAAAAAUUGCUAAAAUAUAAAAUAAUCUCCAGUGAAGUGUUCCUUUAAAUUUGCCAUUUCUCAGUGAAUUCCUGAAAAUGUAUAGUUUAGCAAAUAACUGUUAUGUUAUUGUUGGGUGUUGAAAUCCGAUAUUGCAAAGUUGAGGCUAAUAUAGCCAAUCUUCACCCUAGCUGAGUUGGAGAUUUACUUUCUAAAUCCACUAUUUUACCUGCAAGCGUGUUCAGUCAGAGCACAGUUGCACUUAUAAGCAUAGUCAUUGUUGUUAUUUAAGUAUCAAUCAAUUUAUAUCAAUAAUUCAUAUUGUAUGAGACUUUCAGCGAAUGGAGUUCUAGCUAUGCAUACAGAUCUUUUCCACCACAAUUAGCAUAGCUUAUCUCUCUCUCUACCUUGUAGAUUGAGGGGCAGUUUAUAUCACCAGAAAAAUAAUAGAAAUAUAAUGGGGAACUAAAGCACAUGUUUCUUUUUCUUAUUUUUUCUCCUGGAAUAAUCAGUAACUAUAUUUAAUUCUUAUUAUAUUUAUUGGCUAUAUGACAUAAUUACCAGCCACAUUAAUGAACCGAAGAAAACCAAAUUGUUUCUAUGAUUCAAAAAAUGCCAGUAAUGCAAAGUGCAAAAAGUGAUUUAAUUAAUUGUUAAAGCAAUUUUUUAUUACACAGCACAGAGAAAAAAAAACAACAACAAAUCGAUUUAAAUGGCUCAUACAGCCAUAUAUAUUAGAUGCAGUGUGUUGGUUGAAUUACAGAUAGUUAUGCUGGGUGGGUGUCAUUUUUUUAUUUUUUGUAAAGUUUUUUUUUAAUUUAUUGUGCUUCGUAAGUCAACAAUUUCUGCCUACCCUCAUAGGCUAAAGCAUUGACGGCUAAGUCUGAGGAUUGUGAGCAGUUGUACGUCAGUAGUUCUACAGAAGAAAGCUGACAAUUGAACUGCAACUCCCAGAAAGUAUUGCUGUGCACAUAAAGCAUUGCAUUGUGCAGAACUGCUGUGGAAAAUCCAUCAUCAUUUUUAAAGGGACAUUAAAGGCAUCCAGACCACUUCAUCUCAGCUUUAACCCUGCAACGUAAAAUAUUACCAUUUUGUAGAAACAACAUUGUUUUCGUUGCAGGAUUAAACACGCCUCUAGUGGCUAUCUUCCUGACAGCCACUAGAGGCGCUUCUUCUGCACUCACUGAAUAAAGCUCGGUCACGUGACACCGAAACUCAUAGUUAUUUAAUCAAUGCUUCUCGUAUAGAGCAUUUGAUUGAUGGAGCAAGGGGAUUUGUUGUGCAUGAGCACUAACCUCCCAAUUCUUACCUAUGGGAAGAAGGCAGCAAGAUCAGCGCUCUGCAAGGUGUAAAGUAAGUAAAUCUUACCUUUUACAUUUUUUUAAACCCUGAUAGGGUGGGGAGAGGGGACAGACACCUAAAUUAUAGUGUUAGGAAUACAUGUUUGUAUUCUUAAGGUUAUAGUGUUCUUUUAAAAAAAAUAAGAAAAAACACCCCCUGGACUGGGCUGACCUCACUGUUAAAGCUGCAAAACCUGUGAAUUUGUUGCAAAUUCAGGAACUUCAAAUGUAAACAUCUUUUUUCAUUACGUGUGUGUCAGUGUGUACAUUUUUUAUGUAAGAAUUGAUCAAAUGUUAGCUCCCUCUCCCCCCCUCAGAAAUGUGCCCUUGCAUCCGUUGACGUGCUCAGUAUAAGCAGAAAUUUUUGUUUCGAUCAGCAUGUAUAAUGAUUUUAUUAGAGAGAUUUCUCUGGUGACACCAGAGAACAAACCCAGAGUUGUGGGAUAAUGCGCGAAACGCGUUAGGAGCUCUGGUCUGGCACCAAAAUUGGACUGUAAUGCCAGACCCAGGAAAGAGAGAGAAAUACAAUUGGCAUGACAUCCAUUUACAUUGUGCACUAGGAGAGGUUUAAACACAAAGUGCUCUGUGAAUAAAUAGGUGCUUAGGUAUAGUUAUAAAAAUAUAACAAGUUCACACGCUACUACACUCAGGUGGAUGUCCCCCCUAUUCCGCCCCACACCUGAGAGCAAACAAUCAAAAACAGGCAGGUGUACAAUACACCAACUAGAGAAGUGGAGCGUGUAAGGUGUUCUAUAGGAUAUGCCUACCCUUUGUUGGGACGUAGGGAUUAAGCUGUAAAAUAAAGGAAACAAAGGGUAAUAAUAGUGUAAUAAUCUCAGGGGUAUGAGUGGACUGUAGGUGUCCAAUGGUCCAACUCACAUGGGAAUGAGCCUUCCAGGACCGGCUCAGAUCGGAUAGGCAGAAGUGUACUAGGUGACACAGUCCCCUCUUCUGUCUGCUCAAAUAUGGUAUAUGAAACGAAAAAGAAGUGGGGAAACCAGUAGAAUUCUGGUGUAGUAUGUAAGGUAUGAUAAACCAGAUAUACAAUUAAAAGAUAUUGCUAUUCCAGAGCCCUUAAUGCCUGGCUCAAGGUGAUAGCGCUCUGUGCCUUUGAGGGGGCACACCCUUCUUUUUAAGCAAGCAGACAUGGGUGAUUUAUAGGGCUUUAUUAUUUAAUACACAUACCAAUUAAAAACAAAGUAACAAAAAUAAAAAGCUAGCUGCCAAGAAUACAAACAAGUUGUCCUUGUUCCUCCUCCGAUACGCGUUUCACCCUCUAACAGGGCUUUCUCAAUCGGUGUACACUUUGUUUUUAAUUGUUAUAUUUAUUAAAUAAUAUAGUCCUAUAAAUUACUCCUGUCUGCUUGCUUAAAAAGAAUGGUGUGCCCCCUCAAAGGCACAGAGCGCUAUCACCUUGAGCCAGGCAUUAAGGGCUCUGGAAUAGGUUAGCAAGAUCUUUUAAUUGUAUAUCUGUUUUAUCAUACCUUACAUACUACACCAGAAGUCUACUGGUUUCCCCACUUCUUUUUUGUUUCAUAUACCAUAUUUGAGCGGACAGAAGAGGGGAUUGUCACCUAGUACACUUCUGCCUAUACGAUCUGAGCCAGCCAAUGUGAGUUGGACAAUUGGACACCUACAGUCCACUUAUACCCCUGAAAUUAUUACACUAUUAGUCCCUUUUUUUUUUUUUUACAGCUUAAUCCCUACGUCCCAACAAAGGGUAUGCGUAUCCUAUAGUACACCUUACACUCUCCACUUCUCUGGUUGGUGCAUUGUACACCUUCCUGUAUUUGAUUGUUUACUAGGAGAGGUUUAGCCUUGCCCAGUAGUCAUACAUAAGACACCAUGGAAUGUUUUGGCAUUAGAUUGAAUAAAUAUUCAGUAUUUCAGAAUAAAUUAACCUUUAUAAGUCGAGUAAGACAGGUCAGCUUCAAUGCUGCUUUGUAUUUUGUCACAAUGUGUACGAGUAUUUGUUUUUUUGUCAGUCAUUGUUUUAUUGAGGAAAGUUUACAAGUUUUUUGGUUUCAUAUAGUGCGUUGAGAUAAAGCAUAUCUGUAUAAUAUCAACAGUAGUGAUGUCCCGAACGGUUCGCCGCGGAUGGCGAACAUAUGCGCUGUUCAGUCCGCCCCCUAUUCGUCAUCAUUGAGUAAACUUUGACCCUGUACCUCACAGUCAGCAGACACAUUCCAGCCUAUCAGCAGCAGACCCUCCCACCUCCUGGACAGCUCACUAAGAAUGCAGCUUCACAAUGAAUGUAAAAUGAAUGCUGUCCAGUAGGUGGGAGGGCCUGGGAGGGAGGGAGGGUCUGCUGCUGAUUGGCUGGAAUGUGUCUGCUGACUGUGAGGUACAGAGUCAAAGUUUACUCAAUAAUGACAUAGGGGGCGGACCGAACAGCGCAUAUGUUCGCCGUCCGUGGCGAACCGUUCGGCGAACCGUUCGGGACAUCACUAAUCAACAGUUAUAAACAUAAAACAUUAGCAGGCCUCUUUUACUUUUUUUUUCUCUGUGCAUGUGUCAGUUGGGUUCGUGCCUUAUGAGUGGUGGUGUACGAGUAUUUGUGUGUUUGUCUUUGAAUAAUAUAAUGUUUGAUCCUUAUCAAUAAAACAUUAUUAAUAAUAGAUCAAUGGCACAUGCAAGUUUUAUUAUAAAAGGUUCCUUUAAUCUUUUUAAAGAUAUUUUGGGGUGUGGGUUAUGAAAUGUUUGUGUUUUCUUAGAGUGUUGCUGUAUUAUCAGAUUGCAACUAUACAGAUAUGUCACAUGAAACAUAUACGUGUUCACUCGUAGUUAACACUUCUGCCGUGUGUGGCUUGCUGUGAAUGUUUAGGGAGAUAAGCAGAGAAGUCAUUCAUGUGGACAUUUUGCAAAAAGAUUAAAAAAAAACAACCAACCUUUAAUCCAUUCUAAAUAACUGUGGUCAUGGCUUAUUGGUAAUGAAAGGGAGGUGACUUUUUGUUGCGUUACCACAUGACUUUGAUCGCAGAUGCUGAGUAGUUGACAAUAGAUUAUUGUAGCAUUGCCAGUUCCACCACAUUUUCUGGGAGAUAUAUUAUAUAUGUUGAUUGUUGGCAUAUAUGUUCUGUACGACAUUAGGAGAAAUUAAGUUAUUAAAGAGACAUUCUAGGCACCAUAACAACUUCAACACAAAGAAAGUACAUGGGCAUAACAAUCAGGUGAUGAAGCUGCUAUGGUACCCAGAGUGGUCCUUUAAAGAUACCAGUUUCAUGAUACCUCCAGUACUUCCUCCUAUGCCUCAUCACCUUGCUGGGCAGUGUUGCACUGCGCAUUAUGCUGGCGUAAUGUUUGGUGCAGGAAGCCAUGUGUCCUUUUAUACCGCUCCAUGCCAAUGUCACCUUUCAGACGAAGGUUCAACGUCGUACCUGGACUAUACCUUGUGACGCUCACUAAUAUGGUGAUGCAUGUCCUGUUUAAACCUCGUUACGGACAGGUCAUUGCUUCGUCCUCGUUUCUGUUUUAGUAACCGAGAGUGUGUUUUCCUUUUAAUUGCCUGCUUGGUAUCUGCUCUGACUAAUCCUUGAGUAUUCUAUCCUCUCUAUCCCUGGACCUUGGCUUGUUUUGUGGUUUUUGUGAUGUUCUAUAUCCCCUUGACCUUGGCCUGUUUUGUAAUGCUCUAUAUCCCCUUGACCUUGGGCUGUUUUGUGAUGCUCUAUAUCCCCUUGACCUUGGCCUGUUUUGUGAUGCUCUAUAUCCCCUUGGCCUGUUUUGUGGUUUUUGAACUGUAGAACUGUAGCAAUUUGUUAUAAUCACUGCAGCUGUAAGCCAACCUCUCAAUGCUGUCAAUCAAGGCUGUCAGAAUGUUUAACAUGAAUUUUGACCUAAUUGUAUUAAGCUCUCUCUCUCCUCCCUGUAAAACAGGUUGAGCUGCAGAUGUAUGUGUCUGCCAGUCAGAUAGACCAGUUGACUGAACAGUGAACUAUUAUGUUUAACAGCUGCAGUAAUGUUUCUAUCUGUUUAUAAAGCAGUUGCAAUCAUCCUAAGUGAUGAUUGGAACAGCUCCGUAGGCAUAAAUUACUUAUAUAAUGCAUUAAAAACAUAGGGAUCAGUUUUAAUCCAUAUCCCAUUAAUCACUGUGAAAUCUUUAUGUAUACAAAUUCUACAUGCUGCAGGGCAGCACUAUUCCUGCUCUGCCCAUUAACAUAAGGAAAAUAUGUGUGUUCAGAAAAACAUGGUGGGAUUUUAAAAAAAAAACUAAUAAAAGGGGCCCUCCUUGUUCCAUAACAAAUAUUUAAUCAAUUAAAUUCAACAAACUAACUUCAUAUGUCCAGAACAUUUUUAACAUGACCGAGGUCAGGAUAAAACCUGUUUCUUACCUAAUCUUUUUAAGAAACCUGCUUGGCUCUCAUUGGUUGCAACGUUAGUCAGAUAGCAGAAACUAAUGUAGGGUAGCAAGAUCAGGGUGAUCACAUGAUGUUAGGUACUCUUAUACCUGUUCUGAUUGGCAGAUCUGUGUCCACCAUCUUUAUCCCUGAUCCUUCCAGCAACAAUCAUGAAAGAAUCCGAGAUGAGUGACUCAAAUCCCAUCUCCUACCAAUUAACUAGUAGCUACCAGCAAAAUAAAUAUGACACGUUUAUUACUUUAAUAAUAUCACAGACAAUCUCAUCAGGGGAGUAAAAUAAGAAGGAUUUCAGAAUACGGCACUGGGCCCUGUGACAAACUGAGAUAACACUCGAGGCUGUAGUGGUUAUGGUGCUUAGAGUAUUCCUUUAAGACACAAUUUGUUCAGGGACAGGCAUUCAAAAUGCAGACAUGUCCUGAUAACAUUUCUGACAGUUUGGCAAAUAUGUCCAGACCAUUGCCGGUGUAACAGUUUCUAAAAGUAAAUUUAUACAUCAAUCUUAAAUGUGAAAAUAAUAUCUUUGAAUAGGUGGAUCAGCAACCGAUGUCAUUAAAAAAAUAUAAUAUUGCUAGUUCAGCAACUACACUUUAGCACAGAAAGGUAUUAAAUACAAUUAAUAAUUGACACUGCAAGGUUUGUUUUUCACUAUGUAAAUAUAGAAACAUAGAAACAUAGAAUGUGACGGCAGAUAAGAACCAUUCGGCCCAUCUAGUCUGCCCAAUUUUCUAAAUACUUUCAUUAGUCCCUAGUCUUAUCUUAUAGUUAGGAUAUCCUUAUGCCUAUCCCACGCAUGCUUAAACUCCUUUACUGUGUUAACCUCUACCACUUCAGCUGGAAGGCUAUUCGAUGCAUCCACUACCCUCUCAGUAAAGUAAUACUUCCUGAUAUUAUUUUUAAACCUUUGUCCCUCUAAUUUAAGACUAUGUCCUCUUGUUGUGGUAGUUUUUCUUCUUUUAAAUAUAGUCUCCUCCUUACUGUGUUGAUUCCCUUUAUAUAUUUAAAUGUUUCUAUCAUAUCCCCCCUGUCUCGUCUUUCCUCCAAGCUAUACAUGUUAAGAUCUUUAACCUUUCCUGGUAAGUUUUAUCCCGCAAUCCAUGAACCAGUUUAGUAGCCCUUCUCUGAACCCUCUCUAAGGUAUCAAUAUCCUUCUGAAGAUACGGUCCCCAGUACUGUGUACAAUACUCCAAGUGAGGUCUCACCAGUGUUCUGUACAAUGGCAUGAGCACUUCCCUCUUUCUACUGCUAAUACCUCUCCCUAUACAACCAAGCAUUCUGCUAGCAUUUCCUGCUGCUCUAUUACAUUGUCUGCCUACCUUUAAGUCAUCGGAAAUAAUCACCCCUAAAUCCCUUUCCUCAUAUGUUGAGGUUAGGACUCUAUCAAAUAUUCUGUACUCUGCCCUUGUGUUUUUACGUCCAAGAUGCAUUAUCUUGCACUUAUCCACAUUAAAUGUCAGUUGCCACAAUUCUGACCAUUUUUCUAGUUUACCUAAAUCAUUUGCCAUUUGGCUUAUCCCUCCUGGAACAUCAACCCUGUUACAUAUCUUAGUAUCAUCAGCAAAAAGACAUACCUUACCAUCAAGACCUUCUGCAAUAUCACUAAUAAAAAUAAUAAAGAGAAUGGGUCCAAGUACAGAUCCCUGAGGUACCCCACUGGUGACAAGCAAGCUUCGAAUAUACUCCAUUAACUACAACCCUCUGUUGCCUGUCACUCAGCCACUGCCUUACCCAUUCAACAAUAUUGGAAUCCAAACUUAAAGAUUGCAGUUUAUUGAUAAGCCUUCUAUGUGCAACAGUGUCAAAAGCCUUACUGAAAUCUAGGUAAGCAAUGUCUACUGCACCACCCGAUCUAUAAUUUUAGUUACCCAAUCAAAAAAAUCAAUAAGAUUAGUUUGGCAUGAUCUCCCUGAAGUAAACCCAUGUUGUCUCUGAUCUUGAAAUCCAUGUGUUUUAGAUAGUUCGUAAGGCAAUUUUUCUUCAUUACAUUAUUAGUUCCCUACCUCAGCUAGACGUCUUGUAGUUGACGUUGUCACAAUAUGGACAUUUUAUACUUCAAAUUAUUAAUAUAAUAUUAGCAUUAGUCUAGGCGGCAAAUUUAAUUAGGAUGUACCCCAUGAACUUUUUUUUUAUUACAGAACAUUCUUUUUUUUUGUUUGUUUUUAUUAAAAAACAAACCAAACAAAAAAACACUAAAUCAGACUUAAAGGGUUACUCCAAGCACCAUAGUCACUUCAGUGAUUUUACCCAUAUUGUAUAUCUUGCACCCGCUUUUACCUACUUUUUGGUGCAGGGGCAAACUGACAGCAAGCUGGGCCCGGCUUGACGUGCAAUUAAGCACAGACACGCAUUGUGGUUCAAAAUUCAUAUUGCAUUUCUGCACAAACCCUUAGCAAUGGACACUGUUUCAAACACAGCUUUUUUUUUUAACUGAUCCAAAAGGACCAGUGACCAGAAACCAGCCAUGGACUGCAGUUUCAACCUUGUGGGUUUCAUCAGCAUGGCACUGAUUUUGGUCUGGAAGUUAAAGUCUCUCUGACAAUAUAGCUAGGUAAGGAAAUAUAUAUUAGAUCAGAUACUGUAGCUAUUCUUGUUCAGUGAUGUAGGUGUAAAAUAACAGAUGAACAUAGUAUCUUGUAAUAUCAAUUUUUAUUCGAUUAACAUAAUUUUGGAACGACAAGCUUAGAGGAGAUCCUCCAUUCCUCAAGUCUAAGUAUUUCUGAGCUAAGCAACACAUAGAAUUCAAAGUUGACUCAAUACUCUCUUACGCGGCUUCCUCGUCACAAGUCUGAUUUUUAACUCUCAUACCGACAGUCAACCACUAGAGGUGAACUUAAACCUGCAAUGUAAAUAUUGGGGUUUCUCAAAAACUUAAUUGUUUUACAUUGCAGGAUUAAGAGGACAGGCACACUGCACCCAGAUCACUUCAAUCAGAUACAUUGGUCUGGGUGACCAUAAUAUUCACCCAGCCUCCCUUAAGUGCUUUUAACCCCUUAAGGACCAAACUUCUGGAAUAAAAGGGACUCAUGACAUGUCACACAUGUCAUGUGUCCUUAAGGGGUUAAAUGAAAAACAGGAGUGGAACCUCAUCCCUAGUGUCCAGUGGGGAGCUGCAGAGAUCAGUCUCUACUAAUUACCCAGUUCCCUAUCACCUUUCACCCAGUGCAGACUGCCCACUCUCCCCCUCUUCGUAAUCAACAAGUAACACACACUUUAUUCUCUGAACAGUGAAUUGUGAUGAACUAACAACCAUCAAGGCUCCGAGAGAUAUAUAUUUAUAUUUCCAACAAGGUCACUUGAGUGUAGGAAACGAGAGUAUGCGGGGGACGAAUCCCCCACAAAAAAUCUGGUGUGGCUUUUAAGAUCAUAUGAUAAGAAAAACAAACGAUUUGUUAAAAUAGAGUUGUUUACUUGUUUGCUACUUGUUUAGUAGACUCCCUAGUGAUAAUAUAUAAUUUCACUGGAGAAAACUGAAAGCUCCCUAAAUUGGGCUAGGAGUACUAUAGGCCAAUCCCCUCUCCCCCCAGAUUCAGUGUGGGUCCUAUUUCAAUGACAGGCCAUGUAGCAUUAUAAUAAGCAAGCUGUGACCUUCAGGUUUGGAACUAUAUAUGUUGUCCAAUUGUCUGGGGUCUAUACAGUGGGGUUCUGUAUUUGUAGAUUGAGGUUGCAAAGCCCCUCACAGUCUCCCUGCAGACCCACCAAUGCUGAACCCCUAAAAUUUGCUAUUUCUCUGCCAGUGUGAAUUAAUUUAAAGGGACACUAAUUAAUUUAGUUGUUCUGGUGGGUAUAAUUAUUCCCUGUAGGCAUUUUCAUGCAAACAUUGCCUUUUCAGAUAAAAGGCAGUGUUUACAUUACAGCCUAGGGACACCUCCAGUGGCCACUCCUCAGAUGGCUGCUAGAGGUGCUUCCUGUUACUGGAGCACUGCUGUUCAGCAUCCCCACACUCUGCAUGGAGACACUGAAUUUUUCUCAUAGAGAUGCAUUGAUUCAAUGCAUUUCUAUGAGGAAGUGCUGAUAGGCCAAGCCGGCGUUUGUCCCCGCCCCCUCCCUACUAAUUUUCCUGGCACUAUAGUGCCCUGAGGGUGCCCCCAUCCUCAGGGUCCCCCUCCCGCCCGGCUCUGGAAAGGGGAAAAGGGGUAAAACUUACCUUUUUCCAGCGCUGGGCGGAGAGCUCUCUGCCUCCGAUCCUCCUCCGUUCAUCCCCGUCGGUUGAAUGCGCACGCGUGGCAAGAGCUGCGCGCGCAUUCAGCCGGUCGCAUAGGAAAGCAUUUAAAAUGCUUUCCUAUGGACGCUUGCGUGCUCUCACUGUUAAUAGGUGACUUACUAAUAAAACUUUUCCAAAUAAAAUGUAAUUUAGAACAAUGUAUCUUAUUUACAUAGACUGUUUUCUAAACACAUUUAUUGUGGUUUAAAGACAUGCAGCGCUACAGAAUUUGUUGGCGCUAUAUAAAUAAUAAUAAUACUGUGAGUAUUCAUGCUAUGAAGCUCUGUUAUACACUCAGACACAGACACAAUAUGGAAGCUCCUAGAAAAGAGGGACAUUAGGAUAGAAAAGAAGGACAAAGAUUUGGACCCAAAAUAAAGACUCCCACUCUUAGCCAGGGACAGAUGGGAGGUGUGGCACGCUGCUUUUGAUUGAUACACAUUGUCUUAAUAAAGUUUUCUGUUUUUCUUUCUCUUUGCUUCCUACUAUAUACAGAAGUGAAAGUGAAAGUUUGAAGCCUGCCGAGGCCGUGUUAAUGCAGGGGAGAGAAAGCUUUGUGUGGAUUUGUCAGCCUUAUGGAAACGCUUUAAAGUCUGGGGUCGUACGGUGUUAACCCCUCUCUAGCCACACGGCUACCGAGGACUGAUACAUAGCAAGACAUCUCGGUUCUUGGUGCACGUAAGUUAUUUUCCUGCAUGUAAAUUAAAUGCCUUAAUUGGACCUGAUCUACAUAAUCAAAAUGUGUGUAAUCGAAUAACCGAGCCAGAAUACAUUCCCAGUGAAACGUGCAGGUUUUUUCACUGAAGUGAGAAUUGUCAGAAAUGUAAAGUUAAUUUUAAAAAGUAAGGGCACAUUAGUCGAAUUGGAAGAAACUCAUAUUUCCAGUUCCGCUAUUGUAGCCUUAAAGGGUUACUAUAAUCUUACCGAGAGGGGGGACAUUUUCAGCGUAAUAUGCCGUACUGGGCACUGUGGGAAAGGUCCCUGCUCUCAAUUACCUGAAAUAAAAUGGUUUUAUUUAUCUUGAAUACAGAGUUCUGGGCUGCCGGUGUCACGUGUGCUGGGGGGGGGAACCAGCCCCCGUCUCACAAUUAAGAAUAUCUCUCUAUGUGCGGUGUUUUAACCCCUCAAGGACAACCUCUGGAAUAAAAGGGAAUCAUGAUGGAAUAUUUCCGUCAUGUGUCCUUAAGGGGUUAAGCAGAAUUUGCACAUACUUACUCAUACCACCAUAACCACUUUAAAUCACUGACGUGGUCAUGGUGGUUGGAGUAACCCUUUAAAUGUCAAGUUCAUCCGAGCAAUUCUCACUUUAUUGAAGAAACCUGUCAGUUAUUCUCAUGAGUUUCACCAUGCUGAGGCCUUUUACUGUGCUGCGGUUUAGUUACUACACAGUGAAUUAUGCUCAAUGGAUAUACAAAAUUCAGGCUAAACCAAAGAAGCUGUGAUUAUAACUCGGAUGACAAAAUAAUUUUUUCAAACCAGUUAUUUUUCCCUGAAGUUUUGCAAUAUGGUUUUUAAUUUACUGCAAAUCUGUGUUUUAGUGAACAAAACCCAUUUUCUUUUUCUCUUUAAUUACUAGUAAACAAUGAAUUGCAAACCAUCAAUUUAUUCCAGAUUAGUCAUGACAUAAAAUUCUCAAUAGGAGAUUUUUUUAUCAAAUAGUUUUUUAGCCUAACAAUGUAAUUACUAAAAUGAAAAUUCCAAGUGAAUUUCAAAUUUAAGGUCAACAUAGCCAAAUCGCAAUCAAUCUUUAAGUCCGCUAUGCUGUCAGCUGCUACUUUGGCCUUAAAAAUAAAAUUUACUUUGAAUUCUCUUUGAAUUCUCAUUGCAGUGAAUAACUACAUGUUUUACAAUUCAGCUUCUGAGUCUCUGUUCAGUGAAUGAGUGUUAUAAAAUAUCUAAAUAAAAACCUACCCAUUGCCAUUAAUUUAUAAUCAUGAUAUUAUAAUUUUACCGUAUUUCUGUAUACAAUUGUUGUAAGACAUGAACUAACAAACGAGCAGCUGUUGUGUUUGAGAAUAUGUUAAGUCCCUGUCGCGUUAGAUUAACAGAAGUUAUAUUUAAAAAUGUUUUAAAAUUAUAAUUUUGACAAGAAAAAAAAAGCAAAAAAGCAGAUAGUAUUUUAUUAAGUAAGCUUUUAUGUUUAUAUAGCGUUAUGAUUUGUGGCCUUGAUUCAGGAAAUCCCCUUGUCAAACACAUUUACUUAUAGGCAGACGUUAUCUUUGAGAGCACGUGCUCUAAACUAGUACUGAAUACUGAAUAAGUGCUACAGACAUUCAUUGUGGG